CCUAGGGAGGCAGCAGUGGGGAAUAUUUGGCAAUUGGCGCAAGCCUGACCCAGCAAUGCCGCGUGAAGUAAGAAGGCUUUCGGGUUGUAAACUUCUUGGACUGGGGAAGAGCAGAAGACGGUACCCUGAAAACAAGCCACGGCUAACUACGUGCCAGCAGCCGCGGUAAUACGUAGGUGGCAAGCGUUGUCCGGAUUGACUGGGUGGAAAGGGCGUGUAGCCGGGAAGGCAAGUCAGAUGUGAAAUCUGGAGGCUCAACCUCCAAAUUGCAUUUGAAACUGUUUUUCUUGAGUACUGGAGAGGCAGACGGAAUUCCUUGUGUAGCGGUGAAAGGCGUAGAUAUAAGGAGGAACACCAGUGGCGAAGGCGGUCUGCUGGACAGCAACUGACGGUGAGGCGCGAAAGCGUGGGGAGCAAACAGGAUUAGAUACCCUGGUAGUC
rnacentral:rRNA from 1 species